GGGGGUGACAGGUCUCGACUCCGGAUGUCGAGGCAGGGGAAGCGGGUCGAGGAAGCCGACGAUGAUCUCGUUAACCAUCCGUCGGACACACACAAGCGCCGACAACAGUCCGCGCGCGUACGCCCUCGCUGCCUAGGUAGCAGGAGCGUCGCUGUCAGCCCGGGAGAGCCUCCGGCCCGGGACCUGGCAUCGCCAGGAGGACCACUGCGUGCCCCGGCCACGGGGGAGCGCAGUGAACUCACAGUGGCUGAGCCCGUUCCCGACUCGCUGGCGUGAUCGGGAGGGCUGAGAAAAGCGCAGUCAGCUGCACCCGGAGAAGCCCUGCUGCGGUGCCGGAGGACGCGGGUUCGAUUCCCGCCACCUCCACCG
rnacentral:tmRNA from 1 species